UACGGAGGGUGCAAGCGUUGUUCGGAUUUAUUGGGCGUAAAGCGCGUGUAGGCGGUUUCUUAAGUCUGAUGUGAAAGCCCUGGGCUCAACCCAGGAAGUGCAUUGGAUACUGGGAGACUUGAAUACGGGAGAGGGUAGUGGAAUUCCUAGUGUAGGAGUGAAAUCCGUAGAUAUCAGGAGGAACACCGGUGGCGAAGGCGGCUAUCUGGACAGAAACUGACGCUGAGGCGCGAAAGCUAGGGGAGCAAACAGG
rnacentral:rRNA from 1 species